UAUUCAUCUAAUAAUGUUUAGUUCUUUCUUGGACUGGAAUGAAGUUUCCCUUGUCACUUCGUAGUACCACUUCUCAUCAUCAGUCCAUCACACAGAACUCUUCAUAGUUUAUUCUUCCAUCUUGCAUUAAAAGUGAUUUUAUUUUCGUCUGAAAAUUUGUUAUAUAAAUGAAAUUUAGUAUCAACUUCAGCUAUUAUUUUGAUGCUAGCUUUAUCUUCCAUACCAUAAUCUGUUAACAAAAAAAAACAAAACUGGAAAUAAUUUUGAAAAAAGCUCUUGUAGGAGAACUUUUAUUUAUCAUGUUUUUUACAUUAUUAUGUUUUCUGAAAAUAGCAUUUAUUAUGGUUUUUUAUUGACAUAAAUAAAUGACUAAUAGAGAAACCAUCAAAAUCUUUAUAUAUAAAAAAGGGUUUGAAUCCCUCCCAGAGAAUCUACGUAUGCUUCCAUGUCACUAAUUCAGAUGCUGUCGAGUAAUACGUGGCUGCUUUAACAAAAACGCAUCGAUCGGUUCAUUAAACGUUUGUCAUGGGCUUCGCAAUUAAAAGCGUUUUCAUAUUCCCAAAUAAUAAUUAACAUGAUCCAAUAAAACCUAAUACUUCAGGCCCACAAAUAAUGUGUUUUUGACGAUCUGAGUUCCGUCCUCUUUCUCUUGGGGGAACCAAUCAUAACCUCGACGGAUCCGUUCCCCCCGCAAUUACUCGACGGAGUAACCCACUAUGAAAAUGGGAGGCAAUCAAUUUGUUCUUCAAUGCAGAAUUUUCACCUCCUAUCAAACAAUUGUAAUAUAUAUAUAUAUAUGUCAUUGAGUUACUGGAUCAAAUUCAUAAAUCUUAACAUCGCAGUCAUGCAAAAGAACAAGAUUUAUGAAUUCUUCAGAGAUUUGCAGACCAGCUUGAUAUUUAACACGAUCAAUGUACACUAGAGUGGAGUUCUGCAAGAGAUUGUGUGGCGUCUGAGUGAUCAGAAGUAUUUACAGUGGAGAAAGCAGGUAGAACACACUAAGAGCUUGCUGUACGGUAUUAAGAUUCUUAAUACACAUAGAGAAUAGUGGAUGGUGUCAGUUGAUAUAUGAGAAGUUACCAAAAGAUAUCGCAAGCCUGACAUCUCAGGAAAUUCUGCAGUGAAUGUUAUAUCUAAUAUCUUUGCUUAUUAGCAAGGGAGUUCCAGAAUCGCAUAUUAUCUUUCUUAACGCCAUAGCAGCACCUCAAGGGAUUCACCGGCUCUGCAAGAAACAUCCAAUGGUAAAGAUUGUGACUUCAGAAAUCGAUGCCUCGCGUGUGAUUCCAGGUCUGGGACCAUUACUUUGGUACAGACAACUCAAAAAAGUAUCAAGAAUAUCUAGAAAUGCAAAGAGUGUCAAGAACACUCCAAAAACAGCAAAGAAUGAAAGUCUCAACGGGGCUUUCACGGUUAUCCAAGACAAGGAAAGGAUCUAUUACAACAUUCAAAAGAAGUGGACAAGUUGCAGCUCAUCUCGAAAAAGCUGCAAGACUAGCUAGGAAAAAAUAUUGAGGGACAAUAAAGUUCUCACCUCCUAACCUCGUUUCUAACUGCAGGUCACAAUCGCCAUAUCCACCUGCAUACGUAGCUCCGCAGAGAAGUGGGGAAUCUAGAAGUCUCCAAGAUUGUAAUGUUCAAACUUCUCUGAACCAGCUAAAGCUAAACAAAACAGAGCUUUCAGGAUUCAGCUUAUAAAAUUUAAACGUCAACAAAGUAUGGCAACAAAGCCAAACACAUCGUCCAUGAACAGCAGCAGCACCACUUCAACCACGUCCAAAGAACAUAGGAACCAGGAAAAGCAACAGCUUCAGCAAUUGAGAUUUGGUAACAUGUCCUAUAUGUAAUACCUUAGUGUGGACCAGUGAACCAGUAAGGAUAGUCAACCACCAUGCCAAUAGGACGUUCUACAUAUGUUGUAACAAGGAAGUUGAGCGCCUACCACUCCGCGAACUUCCUUCACCUUUGAAAGAGCUCCUUGGCACACCAGGGUUCCGAGUUUUAAUAAGUGUUGCGAAUGGAAUGAUUGCUUUUACUUCAACGGGUGCUCAUGUCGAUCAUACUAUCACUGGACAACCUGGCCAUUCAUUUACCUAAUACAUGCUCAAAACCAACACCGUAUCUGUUCACUCUUGCAUGUUGACGAAGAACCCCCACAGUAUCUCCAGCUAUAUAUUUUUAUACUGUAAAUAAAAUAGAAAAAGAAGAAAGCCUUAUGAAAAGGAUCAUCAACUAUAAACUUAGACGACCAAGUUUCACAUUUGUCCCUCUCACCUUCGAUUGAUAUGUCAGUUAUCCUCAUCUUCGGUUUAAUUAUUUAUAAAUAAAUAUUUAAAUAAAA